CGUUCCACAGGGAUGCUGGCCCAUGUUGACUCUACAAGGUGUUGAAAGCGUUCCACAGGGAUGCUGGUCCAUGUUGACUCUACAAGGUGUUGAAAGCGUUCCACAGGGAUGCUGGCCCAUGUUGACUCUACAAGGUGUCGAAAGCGUUCCACAGGGAUGCUGGUCCAUGUUGACUCUACAAGGUGUUGAAAGCGUUCCACAGGGAUGCUGGCCCAUGUUGACUCUACAAGGUGUUGAAAGCGUUCCACAGGGAUGCUGGCCCAUGUUGACUCUACAAGGUGUUGAAAGCGUUCCACAGGGAUGCUGGCCCAUGUUGACUCUACAAGGUGUUGAAAGCGUUCCACAGGGAUGCUGGUCCAUGUUGACUCUACAAGGUGUCGAAAGCGUUCCACAGGGAUGCUGGUCCAUGUUGACUCUACAAGGUGUCGAAAGCGUUCCACAGGGAUGCUGGUCCAUGUUGACUCCACAAGGUGUCGAAAGCGUUCCACAGGGAUGCUGGUCCAUGUUGACUCUACAAGGUGUCGAAA